AUGAACGCUAGCUACAGGCUUAACCCAUGCCAGUCGAGGGGAAACGACAUCGAAAGCUUGCUUUUGAUGGGCGUCGACCGGCGCACGGGUGAGUAACGCGUAUCCAACCUGCCCAUCACUUGGGAAUAACCUUGCGAAAGUAAGACUAAUACCCAAUGAUAUCCCACGAAGGCAUCGGAAUGGGAUUAAAGAUUUAUCGGUGAUGGAUGGGGAUGCGUCUGAUUAGCUUGUUGGCGGGGUAACGGCCCACCAAGGCAACGAUCAGUAGGGGUUCUGAGAGGAAGGUCCCCCACAUUGGAACUGAGACACGGUCCAAACUCCUACGGGAGGCAGCAGUGAGGAAGAUUGGUCAAUGGGCGAGAGCCUGAACCAGCCAAGUAGCGUGCAGGAAGACGGCCCUAUGGGUUGUAAACUGCUUUUAUAAGGGAAUAAAGUGGGUCACGUGUGACUUUUUGCAUGUACCUUAUGAAUAAGGACCGGCUAAUUCCGUG
rnacentral:rRNA from 1 species